UGGCGGCGUGCCUAACACAUGCAAGUCGAACGAGAAAGUGGAGCAAUCCAUGAGUAAAGUGGCGACCGGGUGAGUAACACGUGACUAACCUACCUCCGAGUGGGGAAUAACUCCGGGAAACCGGGGCUAAUACCGCAUAACAUCSCAAGAUCAAAGCAGCAAUGCGCUUGGAGAGGGGGUCGCGGCUGAUUAGCUAGUUGGCGGGGUAACGGCCCACCAAGGCGAAGAUCGGUAUCCGGCCUGAGAGGGCGCACGGACACACUGGAACUGAAACACGGUCCAGACUCCUACGGGAGGCAGCAGUGGGGAAUUUUGCGCAAUGGGGGAAACCCUGACGCAGCAACGCCGCGUGGAGGAUGAAGCCCUUUGGGGCGUAAACUCCUUUCGACUCGGACGAUAAUGACGGUACGAGUGGAAGAAGCACCGGCUAACUCUGUGCCAGCAGCCGCGGUAAUACAGAGGGUGCGAGCGUUGUUCGGAAUUAUUGGGCGUAAAGGGCGCGUAGGCGGUGCGGUAAG
rnacentral:rRNA from 1 species